AACGAACGCUGGCGGCGUGCCUAACACAUGCAAGUCGAACGUGAUCCGCCCUUCGGGGUGGUGAAAGUGGCGCACGGGUGAGUAACGCGUGGAUAAUCUGCCCGAGGAUUUGGGAUAACAUCUCGAAAGGGGUGCUAAUACCGAAUAAGCCCACGGGGUCUACGGAUCUUGCGGGAAAAGGGGGGGACCUUCGGGCCUCCUGUCCUUGGAUGAGUCUGCGUACCAUUAGCUAGUUGGUGGGGUAAUGGCCUACCAAGGCGACGAUGGUUAGCUGGUCUGAGAGGAUGAUCAGCCACACUGGAACUGAGACACGGUCCAGACUCCUACGGGAGGCAGCAGUGGGGAAUUUUGCGCAAUGGGGGAAACCCUGACGCAGCAACGCCGCGUGGGUGAUGAAGGCCUUCGGGUCGUAAAGCUCUGUCUGGAGGGAAGAAAUGAUUGGGAGCUAAUACCUCUUGAUCUUGACGGUACCUCUGAAGGAAGCACCGGCUAACUCCGUGCCAGCAGCCGCGGUAAUACGGAGGGUGCAAGCGUUGUUCGGAAUUAUUGGGCGUAAAGCGCGUGUAGGCGGUCUUUUAAGUCUGAUGUGAAAGCCCCGGGCUCAACCUGGGAAGUGCAUUGGAAACUGGGAGGCUUGAGUACGGGAGAGGAGAGUGGAAUUCCUAGUGUAGGAGUGAAAUCCGUAGAUAUUAGGAGGAACACCGGUGGCGAAGGCGGCUCUCUGGACCGAUACUGACGCUGAGACGCGAAAGCGUGGGUAGCAAACAGGAUUAGAUACCCUGGUAGUCCACGCCGUAAACGAUGAGUACUAGGUGUUGCGGGUAUUGACCCCUGCAGUGCCGUAGCUAACGCAUUAAGUACUCCGCCUGGGAAGUACGGUCGCAAGACUAA
rnacentral:rRNA from 1 species